AUGAUGAUAUUGGAAGUUUCCAUGUUAAUCACCAAAUAUGAUUUCACCAAUCAUCCCCGGUCUCAACCCCUAUUCCAGUACCAUUUCAAUGAGCUACUCCACUCUGCUCUGGAUUCUCAUCGUUGACGCUCACAAAGACUCGGGGGUGUGAGCGCUUCUCUCGAUCACAGUCUUUUCCACAGCUGAUUAAAAUCUUGCACUCAACUCCACAAGUGUUUAGGAGAAGAGACAACGCUGGCAAGGCAACCACCAGCUACUCCACCAGCAACCACCAGCUACUCCACCACACACAAGGUUCACCAUACCAACCAUCGUUUGCCUUAAUGGGACAACCAACUAAUCGAACAAUCUAGCCGGAUGAAGCAACCAGUGCAGAAGUAACAGCCGAUGAGUGAAGGUAGGUGCUUUUAAUUCAAAGGAAAAAGGGGCAGAUGUGGAUUCACAAAUGGCGAAAAAAGCUAUAA